CAGCCUUAGGGGUUGGUUGUUAUCUUUGGUUAUCUAGCUGUAUGAGUGAUGUACAUUCUUCAUAAAGCUAGAUAACCGAAAGUAACAAGAAUCCCAUUACGCUCCUGAAAGGCAUCAAGCUCCCCAACACAUGUCCCCCAUAAUGCACCACCCCAUUCUACCAUCCACAGCAAAACAAGCAAAAAAAAUGGCCGUCAUCAUAGGACAAUGGGAUCAGAAGAAAAAGUCAAACUACCAACACCACCGUGACAGAAUGCUGGCAAAAUGAGGCUGGAAAAACAGGGAGAGGAUGAGAGGUUGCUGUUGACUCUGACUCCCUCUUCUCGCCCUCCUCCGUAUCGCCUCUCCCCUUCUCCCCUCCCUCGCUUCAUCCUCAGCUGCCUUCCCCAUUCUCCUGUACCGUGAGACGUAGCCCACGCCACCAUCUUAGGACGACGCUCGCUGGCAUGAAAUGGAAGUGAGGACCAGAGAGAGCAGGCAAAUAAUGGUCCAGAACACUGAUAGAAGGCAGAAAGAACUACGAGCAGUAAUCCAUUGGGAGAAGAAAAGUUGCCCACAAACUACCAACCCAUCCCUAGUAUUUGCAAUGGAACAGGCCCAUUACAACAAUGUUUGUCCACUAUACUCCGACUUGUGCCCCAACAUUUGAGCAUCAGAGCACUUUAGCUGCCUCUGACGUGUGGUUAGACCUCCGGCCUGGGUUUAGUUAUCCAGCAAGGGCCAAUCUGGAUUGGUUUUGUUUCCUUUCUUAAGCCAAUAAGAAAGCGGGUUGGUGGCGUGGAAAACAAGAGCAAACAUCUCAGGAUCCAAGAUGAACAGAGAAGCAGUGAUUCUUGGAUACACUGGGCUAUGAAUGAGAUACAUUACAUGUGCUGUGUACCUACAGUAUUUGCUUGCAGCCUCAAUAACAUCUACAAAAGAUUUGACAGAUUGACCAGGUGAAUCCAGGUGAAAGCUAUGAUCCCUUAUUGAUGUCACUUGUUAAAUCCACUUCAAUCAGUGUAGAUGAAGGGGAGGAGACAGGUUACAGAAGGAUUUUUAAGCCUUGAGGAAAUUGAGACAUGGAUUGUGUGUGUGCCAUUCAGAGGGUGAAUGGGCAAGACAAAAGAUUUAAGUGCCUUUGAACAGGGUAGGGUAGUAGGUGCCAGGCACACCGGUUUUUGUCAAGAACUGCAACACUGCUGGGUUUUUCACGCUCAACAGUUCCCCGUGUGUAUCAAGAAUGGUCCACCAGCCAAAGGACAUCCAGCCAACUUGACACAACUGUGGGAAGUAUUGGAGUCAACAUGGGCCAGCAUCCCUGUUGAACGCUUUUUGACACCUUGUAGAGUCCCAUGCCCAGACGAAUUGAGGCUGCAACUCAAUAGUAGGAAGGUGUCCUUAAAUGUUUUGUACACUCAGUGUAUGUUACAUGUGAGGAAAUGUUCCUUGCAAUACAGAUUCUUAAGUGCAAACAUUUAUAUAAUAGCAUAGAGUGCUUUACUACUACUACUACUACUACUACUACUACUACUUUAAUUUAAAGUAAAUAACAAUGUAUGAAUAGAGUCCAUGGUGUUGCAUGGGAAUGUUGUAUAACGAGCUGUAUAAAUAACAUAGACCUACCUAGAUCAUUACGGUUAGAAUUUUAGCCCAUUUUCAUGUUUGUUUUAUUAUUUACUAGUUGCUAUGACUGACAGAUACAUGAAUGUGAGACCCACGGCAGCAGUGAAGAAUACUGCACUGCGAUUAGAUGGCUCCGUGUGUCACAUGACACACAGGCGAAUGGGAGAGCUGUUGUCUUUAUACUCUAUGCAACUGUUUUUGGUACCAAAUAUAUUGGGCAAGCCGUCAACUGGAUUAUUUUUGGCCGAACAAUCUCAUGAAAUAUUAUGCUGUUUAUUCAGUUCUCUCUCACAGUGUAGUUUUUUUUUUACACUCAAUCUGCCAAUUUAGGCUGUGUGUGUGUGUGUGUGUGUGUGUGUGUGUGUGUGUGUGUGUGUGUGUGUGUGUGUGUGUGUGUGUGUGUGUGUGUGUGUGUGUGUGUGUGUGAGAGAGAGAAAGUGUGUGAGAGAGAGAGAGAGAGAGAGAGAGAGAGAGAGAGAGAGAGAGAGAGAGAGAGAGAGAGAGAGAGAGAGAGAGAGAGAGAGAGAGAGAGAGAAGAGAGAGAAA